rnacentral:pre_miRNA from 1 species
UUUAGUGUGAUAAUGGCGUUUGAUAGAUUGGACACAAACACCAUUGUCACACUCCAUA